rnacentral:rRNA from 1 species
UGGGGAAUAUUGGACAAUGGGCGCAAGCCUGAUCCAGCAAUGCCGCGUGUGUGAAGAAGGCCUUCGGGUUGUAAAGCACUUUUAUCAGGAGCGAAAACGCUGUCGGCUAAUACCCGGCGGAACUGACGGUACCUGAGGAAUAAGCACCGGCUAACUUCGUGCCAGCAGCCGCGGUAAUACGAAGGGUGCAAGCGUUAAUCGGAAUUACUGGGCGUAAAGCGUGCGUAGGCGGUUUCUUAAGUCUGCUGUGAAAUCCCCGGGCUCAACCUGGGAAUGGCAGUGGAUACUGGGAGGCUAGAGUGUGUCAGAGGGUGGUGGAAUUCCCGGUGUAGCGGUGAAAUGCGUAGAGAUCGGGAGGAACAUCAGUGGCGAAGGCGGCCACCUGGGACAACACUGACGCUGAGGCACGAAAGCGUGGGGAGCAAACAGGAUUAGAUACCCUGGUAGUCCACGCCCUAAAGCGAUGCGAACUGGAUGUUGGUCUCAACUCGGAGAUCAGUGUCGAAGCUAACGCGUUAAGUUCGCCGCCUGGGGAGUACGGUCGCAAGACUGAAACUCAAAG